ACCUCGCUGGGCAGGGAGGUGGCCUGUCUCCACAUGGGACCACUUGCCAGAGGAAUUGCAGCCUGGUGAGGUGCUCCGGGAGGUGGGAAUGUGGAGCUGGGCUGUUCCUGUGCCGGGGGGGUGCUGAGCUGCUGCUCCUCUCCAGGCGAACACGGAACCGCCGAAGCUGAGCCGAGAGGAGCAGCGGGGCCGUGGGGCCCUCUUGCAGGACAUCUGUAAAGGGACCAAGCUCAGGAAAGUGACCCAAAUCAAUGACCGGAGUGCACCCAUCCUGGAAAAGCCCAAGGGCAGCGGUGGCAGCAGCUACAGCUCCGGCUCAGCCGCCAUCCAGCCCAAGGGCGGCCUCUUCCAAGGUGGCGUUCCCAAGCUCAGACCUGUGGGAGCCAAGGACAGCUCAGACAGCUCCACUAAACAAACACUGCAAGUCCCUGGCUCCCGAGCAGCUGCUCCCAGGCCCCCCGUGCCAGCCAGCAACAGCCGCCCUCAGGAGGAUGCUGACAGCAGCCGGGGGUCCCCACCGGAACUGCCGCGCACGCAGAGGCCCUCCCUGCCUGACCUGUCCCGGCCCGG
ensembl:lncRNA